rnacentral:rRNA from 2 species
AGCAGCCGCGGUAAUUCCAGCUCCAAUAGCGUAUAUUAAAGUUGCUGCAGUUAAAAAGCUCGUAGUUGAAUUUCGGGACUAAUAUGUCGGUCGUGCCUCGGUACGUACUGGUAUUUUUGGUUUCUCCCUUCUGACGAACCUUGAUGUCAUUAAUUUGGUGUCUUGGGAAAUCAGGACUGUUACUUUGAAAAAAUUAGAGUGUUUAAAGCAGGCUCACGCUUGAAUACAUUAGCAUGGAAUAAUGAAAUAGGACGUUUGAUUCUAUUUUGUUGGUUUCUAGGAUCGACGUAAUGAUUAAUAGGGAUAGUUGGGGGCAUUAGUAUUCAAUUGUCAGAGGUGAAAUUCUUGGAUUUAUUGAAGACUAACUACUGCGAAAGCAUUUGCCAAGGAUGUUUUCAUUAAUCAAGAACGAAAGUUAGGGGAUCGAAGACGAUCAGAUACCGUCGUAGUCUUAACCAUAAACUAUGCCGACUAGGGAUCGGAUGAUGUUAAUUUUUUAAUGACUCA